rnacentral:rRNA from 1 species
ACGAACGCUGGCGGUGUGCUUCACACAUGCAAGUGGUGCGACGAACCCGAGCUUGCUCUGGGGCAAAGCCGCGAACGGGUGAGUAACACGUGGGUAAUCUACCCCGAUGACCGGGACAACCCGAGGAAACUCGGGCUAAUACCGGAUGUGGUGCGGAGACAUAAGUCUCUUCACUAAAGGUAGCUUCGGCUUCCGCAUUGGGAGGGGCCCGCGGCCCAUUAGCUUGUUGGUGGGGUCAAGGCCUACCAAGGCAACGAUGGGUAGCUGGUCUGAGAGGACGAUCAGCCACCCUGGGACUGAGACACGGCCCAGACCCCUACGGGAGGCCGCAGUGGGGAAUCUUGCGCAAUGCGCGAAAGCGUGACGCAGCAACCCCGCGUGAGGGAAGAAGGCCUUAGGGUUGUAAACCUCUUUCAGAUGGGACGAAGGUUCUCCGGUGAAUAGCCGAGAGGAUUGACGGUACCGUCAGAAGAAGCUCCGGCUAACUACGUG